rnacentral:rRNA from 1 species
GACGAACGCUGGCGGCGUGCUUAACACAUGCAAGUCGAACGGAAAGGCCCUGCUUUUGUCGGGUGCUCGAGUGGCGAACGGGUGAGUAACACGUGAGUAACCUGCCCUGGGCUUUGGGAUAACUUCAGGAAACUGGGGUUAAUACCGGAUAGGUGCUCCUGCUUCAUGGUGAGGGUUGGAAAGUUUCGGCGGUUGGGGAUGGACUCGCGGCUUAUCAGCUUGUUGGUGGGGUAGUGGCUUACCAAGGCUUUGACGGGUAGCCGGCCGAGGAGGGUGACCGGCCACAUCGGGACUGAGAUACGGCCCCGGCUCCUACGGGUGGCAGCAGUGGCGAAUAUUGCACAAUGGGCGUGAGCCUGAUGCAGAAGCGCCGCGUGCGGGAUAACGAGCUGCGGGUUGUAAUCCACUUUCGCCUGUGACGGAGCGUGAGUGACGGUAAUGGGUAAAGAAGCACCGGCUAACUACGUG